rnacentral:rRNA from 2 species
UGGGGAAUUUUGGACAAUGGGCGAAAGCCUGAUCCAGCAAUGCCGCGUGUGUGAAGAAGGCCUUCGGGUUGUAAAGCACUUUUGUCCGGAAAGAAAUCCUGAGGGCUAAUAUCCUUCGGGGAUGACGGUACCGGAAGAAUAAGCACCGGCUAACUACGUGCCAGCAGCCGCGGUAAUGCGUAGGGUGCGAGCGUUAAUCGGAAUUACUGGGCGUAAAGCGUGUGCAGGCGGUUUGUUAAGACCGAUGUGAAAUCCCCGGGCUCAACCUGGGAACUGCAUUGGUGACUGGCAAGCUAGAGUAUGGCAGAGGGGGGUAGAAUUCCACGUGUAGCAGUGAAAUGCGUAGAGAUGUGGAGGAAUACCGAUGGCGAAGGCAGCCCCCUGGGCCAAUACUGACGCUCAUGCACGAAAGCGUGGGGAGCAAACAGG